AGUGUGUUGAUGUUGACACGCACAAGGAAUUUGGUUCCAGCUGUUUGUGACUCUCAAAGACUUCAUACAGGAUCAUGAACAAAAGCAUACAGUAGAAAGAAGAACUUCAGAUAAUUACAGAGGCAGAAGUUGCAGAUUUAUUUCAAGGUGUAAAAGGAACAAAAAAAGAAAAAAAGAAAGAUUUGCAGCCUAAGAACAGGGCUAUGGAUGGCAACAAAACAAACAAAAUACAACAGAAGCUUGAGAACGAUACGCUGAAACAUAGGACCCAGAAUAGAGAUGCUCCUCGGGGUGAAACUGGUCACAGGUAUGCACAUACAACAAAUAGGGAAGAAGUUCAUUCCACCACUUUGGUGCUAGAACAGAGAGUCUUGUAGUAUACUCACCUUUUAUCCUUAGAGAUGGUGGAACCAGUCGAGCAGUGCUGGUAGAUCGGAGGUUGCGGGGUGCAGUGCGAGGCGUAAUGAGGGCUUUGA